GGAAGCUGUUUGAGUUGGAGCUUUGCCCACGUUUCCCUAACCCACCUUGUGCACCUCCUUCCACCCUGUUUUCACUUGAUAUGUUUAGGAGACAGAAACAAAAAUAAGUGCAGGUCCCAACAAACAGGGCAGAUACCAGUGGCAAGAAGCCGCUGUGCAGCCACACCAGUUUGUACAAUCCUGUGUACAAGGCCAACUGCUCGGACAUCAUGAAGCUCCCGGUGUGGACCACAAACAGGGCUGGCAAGAAUCCAGGCUGACCGCUCUGAAUUCUCCCAAAAUUGCUUGGGAUGGCAUUAUUAUUUCCUCAGUCAGUAAGUAUCUUUUAACUCUGAGAAGAUUUAGAAUGAAGAAGAGAAAUAUUUAAGAGGACCAAACUUAUAAUAUUAAUAUUUAUGCAUUAAGAAGAAAUCUGUGCCGAUUUAGUAGUAUAAGUAUUCGUAAUAAUCAAGAGAAUUUGCCAUAUUAUAAAAUAUACCUGCAUUGAAAAUUCUCAUUUGAAAUGUGUAGUUAAUUGAUUCAGACUUGUAUAUUUAAGUUUAAUCUUUCAUAGUUUAUACACAGUUUUGGAACAGUUAAGAGUACUUAAGGAUCACCGUAUAUAUGUUUAUUUUAUUAAAUUUAUAAGAGUUAUUCAAGAAGUUGAGAAGGCUUAUUUUGUUAAGAUAUUGAAG
rnacentral:lncRNA from 1 species